rnacentral:misc_RNA from 1 species
GAACUGCGAUAAGUAAUGUGAAUUGCAGAAUUCAGUGAAUCAUCGAGUCUUUGAACGCACAUUGCGCCCCCUGGCAUUCCGGGGGGCAUGCCUGUCCGAGCGUCAUUGCUGCCCUUCAAGCCCGGCUUGUGUGUUGGGUCGUCGUCCCCUCCGGGGGACGGGCCCGAAAGGCAGCGGCGGCACCGCGUCCGGUCCUCGAGCGUAUGGGGCUUUGUCACCCGCUCGAUAAGGACCGGCCGGGCGCCAGCCGGCGUCUCCAACCUUUUUUUCUCAGGUUGACCUCGGAUCAGGUAGGGAUACCCGCUGAACUUAAG